rnacentral:rRNA from 1 species
AACGCGAAGAACCUUACCAGCUCUUGACAUGGGACGUUUGGGCUCGAGAGAUCGGGUCCGUCAGUUCGGCUGGCGUCCACACAGGUGCUGCAUGGCUGUCGUCAGCUCGUGUCGUGAGAUGUUGGGUUAAGUCCCGCAACGAGCGCAACCCUUAUCCCUAGUUGCCAUCGGGUCAAGCCGGGCACUCUAGUGAAACCGCCCAGGAUAACUGGGAGGAAGGUGGGGAUGACGUCAAGUCCUCAUGGCCUUUAUGUCCAGGGCUACACACGUGCUACAAUGGUCGGUACAAACCGUCGCAAACCCGCGAGGGGGAGCUAAUCGGAAAAAGCCGGCCUCAGUUCGGAUUGGAGUCUGCAACCCGACUCCAUGAAGCUGGAAUCGCUAGUAAUCGCGGAUCAGAACGCCGCGGUGAAUACGUUCCCGGGCCUUGUACACACCGAGACGAC